CCUACGGGUGGCAGCAGUGAGGAAUAUUGGUCAAUGGACGAGAGUCUGAACCAGCCAAGUAGCGUGAAGGAUGACGGCCCUAUGGGUUGUAAACUUCUUUUAUAUGGGAAUAAAACGUUCCACGUGUGGGAUUUUGUAUGUACCAUAUGAAUAAGGAUCGGCUAACUCCGUGCCAGCAGCCGCGGUAAUACGGAGGAUCCGAGCGUUAUCCGGAUUUAUUGGGUUUAAAGGGAGCGUAGGUGGAUUGUUAAGUCAGUUGUGAAAGUUUGCGGCUCAACCGUAAAAUUGCAGUUGAAACUGGCAGUCUUGAGUACAGUAGAGGUGGGCGGAAUUCGUGGUGUAGCGGUGAAAUGCUUAGAUAUCACGAAGAACUCCGAUUGCGAAGGCAGUUCACUGGACUGCAACUGACACUGAGGCUCGAAAGUGUGGGUAUCAAACAGGAUUAGAUACCCCAGUAGUC
rnacentral:rRNA from 1 species